rnacentral:rRNA from 1 species
UACAGAGGGUGCGAGCGUUAAUCGGAAUUACUGGGCGUAAAGCGUGCGUAGACGGUAGCGUAAGUCAGAUGUGAAAGCCCCGGGCUCGACCUGGGAACUGCAUUUGAGACUGCUCUGCUCGGGUGCGGAAGAGGGAAGCGGAAUUUCCGGUGUAGCGGUGAAAUGCGUAGAUAUUCGCAAGAACACCAGUGGCGAAGGCGGCUCACUGGCCCGGAACUGACGCUGAGGCGCGAAAGCGUGGGGAGCAAACAGG